rnacentral:rRNA from 1 species
UGGGGAAUAUUGCGCAAUGGGCGAAAGCCUGACGCAGCGACGCCGCGUGAGGGAUGAAGGUUUUCGGAUCGUAAACCUCUGUCAGAAGGGAAGAAACCGCACUGUUCUAAUCAGCAGUGCCUUGACGGUACCUUCAAAGGAAGCACCGGCUAACUCCGUGCCAGCAGCCGCGGUAAUACGGAGGGUGCAAGCGUUAAUCGGAAUUACUGGGCGUAAAGCGCACGUAGGCUGCUUUGUAAGUCAGGGGUGAAAUCCCACGGCUCAACCGUGGAACUGCCUUUGAUACUGCUUAGCUUGAAUCCGGGAGAGGGUGGCGGAAUUCCAGGUGUAGGAGUGAAAUCCGUAGAUAUCUGGAGGAACAUCAGUGGCGAAGGCGGCCACCUGGACCGGUAUUGACGCUGAGGUGCGAAAGCGUGGGGAGCAAACAGG